rnacentral:rRNA from 1 species
GACGAACGCUGGCGGCGUGCUUAACACAUGCAAGUCGAACGGAAAGGCCCUGCUUUUGUGGGGUGCUCGAGUGGCGAACGGGUGAGUAACACGUGAGUAACCUGCCCUUGACUUUGGGAUAACUUCAGGAAACUGGGGCUAAUACCGGAUAGGAGCUCCUGCUGCAUGGUGGGGGUUGGAAAGUUUCGGCGGUUGGGGAUGGACUCGCGGCUUAUCAGCUUGUUGGUGGGGUAGUGGCUUACCAAGGCUUUGACGGGUAGCCGGCCUGAGAGGGUGACCGGCCACAUUGGGACUGAGAUACGGCCCAGACUCCUACGGGAGGCAGCAGUGGGGAAUAUUGCACAAUGGGCGGAAGCCUGAUGCAGCAACGCCGCGUGCGGGAUGACGGCCUUCGGGUUGUAAACCGCUUUCGCCUGUGACGAAGCGUGAGUGACGGUAAUGGGUAAAGAAGCACCGGCUAACUACGUGCCAGCAGCCGCGGUGAUACGUAGGGUGCGAGCGUUGUCCGGAUUUAUUGGGCGUAAAGGGCUCAUAGGUGGUUGAUCGCGUCGGAAGUGUAAUCUUGGGGCUUAACCCUGAGCGUGCUUUCGAUACGGGUUGACUUGAGGAAGGUAGGGGAGAAUGGAAUUCCUGGUGGAGCGGUGGAAUGCGCAGAUAUCAGGAGGAACACCAGUGGCGAAGGCGGUUCUCUGGGCCUUUCCUGACGCUGAGGAGCGAAAGCGUGGGGAGCGAACAGGCUUAGAUACCCUGGUAGUCCACGCUGUAAACGGUGGGUACUAGGUGUGGGGUCCAUUCCACGGGUACCGUGCCGUAGCUAACGCUUUAAGUACCCCGCCUGGGGAGUACGGCCGCAAGGCUAAAACUCAAAGGAAUUGACGGGGCCCCGCACAAGCGGCGGAGCAUGCGGAUUAAUUCGAUGCAACGCGUAGAACCUUACCUGGGUUUGACAUGGAUCGGGAGUGCUCAGAGAUGGGUGUGCCUCUUUUGGGGUCGGUUCACAGGUGGUGCAUGGCUGUCGUCAGCUCGUGUCGUGAGAUGUUGGGUUAAGUCCCGCAACGAGCGCAACCCUUGUUCACUGUUGCCAGCACGUUAUGGUGGGGACUCAGUGGAGACCGCCGGGGUCAACUCGGAGGAAGGUGGGGAUGACGUCAAGUCAUCAUGCCCCUUAUGUCCAGGGCUUCACGCAUGCUACAAUGGCUGGUACAGAGAGUGGCGAGCCUGUGAGGGUGAGCGAAUCUCGGAAAGCCGGUCUCAGUUCGGAUUGGGGUCUGCAACUCGACCUCAUGAAGUCGGAGUCGCUAGUAAUCGCAGAUCAGCAACGCUGCGGUGAAUACGUUCCCGGGGCU